GACGGGGGAUGCAAGCGUUAUCCGGAAUCACUGGGCGUAAAGCGUCUGUAGGUGGUGAUGCAAGUCACUGGUGCAAAACUCUGGCUCAACCGGAGGAAAGCCAGUGAAACUGCAUGACUAGAGUGUGGGAGAGGUAGAAGGAAUUCCCUGAGUAGCGGUGAAAUGCGUAGAUACAGGGAAGAACACCGGUGGCGAAAGCGUUCUACUGGAACACAACUGACACUGAGAGAGGCAAGCUAGGGGAGCGAAUGGG
rnacentral:rRNA from 1 species